rnacentral:rRNA from 1 species
ACACUAUCAUUAACUGAAUCCAUAGGUUAAUGAGGCGAACCGGGGGAACUGAAACAUCUAAGUACCCCGAGGAAAAGAAAUCAACCGAGAUUCCCCCAGUAGCGGCGAGCGAACGGGGAGGAGCCCAGAGCCUGAAUCAGUGUGUGUGUUAGUGGAAGCGUCUGGAAAGGCGCGCGAUACAGGGUGACAGCCCCGUACACAAAAAUGCACAUAUUGUGAGCUCGAUGAGUAGGGCGGGACACGUGGUAUCCUGUCUGAAUAUGGGGGGACCAUCCUCCAAGGCUAAAUACUCCUGACUGACCGAUAGUGAACCAGUACCGUGAGGGAAAGGCGAAAAGAACCCCGGCGAGGGGAGUGAAAAAGAACCUGAAACCGUGUACGUACAAGCAGUGGGAGCCUCUUUAUGGGGUGACUGCGUACCUUUUGUAUAAUGGGUCAGCGACUUAUAUUCUGUAGCAAGGUUAACCGAAUAGGGGAGCCGAAGGGAAACCGAGUCUUAACUGGGCGUUAAGUUGCAGGGUAUAGACCCGAAACCCGGUGAUCUAGCCAUGGGCAGGUUGAAGGUUGGGUAACACUAACUGGAGGACCGAACCGACUAAUGUUGAAAAAUUAGCGGAUGACUUGUGGCUGGGGGUGAAAGGCCAAUCAAACCGGGAGAUAGCUGGUUCUCCCCGAAAGCUAUUUAGGUAGCGCCUCGUGAAUUCAUCUCCGGGGGUAGAGCACUGUUUCGGCAAGGGGGUCAUCCCGACUUACCAACCCGAUGCAAACUGCGAAUACCGGAGAAUGUUAUCACGGGAGACACACGGCGGGUGCUAACGUCCGUCGUGAAGAGGGAAACAACCCAGACCGCCAGCUAAGGUCCCAAAGUCAUGGUUAAGUGGGAAACGAUGUGGGAAGGCCCAGACAGCCAGGAUGUUGGCUUAGAAGCAGCCAUCAUUUAAAGAAAGCGUAAUAGCUCACUGGUCGAGUCGGCCUGCGCGGAAGAUGUAACGGGGCUAAACCAUGCACCGAAGCUGCGGCAGCGACACUAUGUGUUGUUGGGUAGGGGAGCGUUCUGUAAGCCUGUGAAGGUGGCCUGUGAGGGUUGCUGGAGGUAUCAGAAGUGCGAAUGCUGACAUAAGUAACGAUAAAGCGGGUGAAAAGCCCGCUCGCCGGAAGACCAAGGGUUCCUGUCCAACGUUAAUCGGGGCAGGGUGAGUCGACCCCUAAGGCGAGGCCGAAAGGCGUAGUCGAUGGGAAACAGGUUAAUAUUCCUGUACUUGGUGUUACUGCGAAGGGGGGACGGAGAAGGCUAUGUUGGCCGGGCGACGGUUGUCCCGGUUUAAGCGUGUAGGCUGGUUUUCCAGGCAAAUCCGGAAAACCAAGGCUGAGGCGUGAUGACGAGGCACUACGGUGCUGAAGCGACAAAUGCCCUGCUUCCAGGAAAAGCCUCUAAGCAUCAGGUAACAUCAAAUCGUACCCCAAACCGACACAGGUGGUCAGGUAGAGAAUACCAAGGCGCUUGAGAGAACUCGGGUGAAGGAACUAGGCAAAAUGGUGCCGUAACUUCGGGAGAAGGCACGCUGAUAUGUAGGUGAAGCGACUUGCUCGUGGAGCUGAAAUCAGUCGAAGAUACCAGCUGGCUGCAACUGUUUAUUAAAAACACAGCACUGUGCAAACACGAAAGUGGACGUAUACGGUGUGACGCCUGCCCGGUGCCGGAAGGUUAAUUGAUGGGGUUAGCGGUAACGCGAAGCUCUUGAUCGAAGCCCCGGUAAACGGCGGCCGUAACUAUAACGGUCCUAAGGUAGCGAAAUUCCUUGUCGGGUAAGUUCCGACCUGCACGAAUGGCGUAAUGAUGGCCAGGCUGUCUCCACCCGAGACUCAGUGAAAUUGAACUCGCUGUGAAGAUGCAGUGUACCCGCGGCAAGACGGAAAGACCCCGUGAACCUUUACUAUAGCUUGACACUGAACAUUGAGCCUUGAUGUGUAGGAUAGGUGGGAGGCUUUGAAGUGUGGACGCCAGUCUGCAUGGAGCCGACCUUGAAAUACCACCCUUUAAUGUUUGAUGUUCUAACGUUGGCCCGUAAUCCGGGUUGCGGACAGUGUCUGGUGGGUAGUUUGACUGGGGCGGUCUCCUCCUAAAGAGUAACGGAGGAGCACGAAGGUUGGCUAAUCCUGGUCGGACAUCAGGAGGUUAGUGCAAUGGCAUAAGCCAGCUUGACUGCGAGCGUGACGGCGCGAGCAGGUGCGAAAGCAGGUCAUAGUGAUCCGGUGGUUCUGAAUGGAAGGGCCAUCGCUCAACGGAUAAAAGGUACUCCGGGGAUAACAGGCUGAUACCGCCCAAGAGUUCAUAUCGACGGCGGUGUUUGGCACCUCGAUGUCGGCUCAUCACAUCCUGGGGCUGAAGUAGGUCCCAAGGGUAUGGCUGUUCGCCAUUUAAAGUGGUACGCGAGCUGGGUUUAGAACGUCGUGAGACAGUUCGGUCCCUAUCUGCCGUGGGCGCUGGAGAACUGAGGGGGGCUGCUCCUAGUACGAGAGGACCGGAGUGGACGCAUCACUGGUGUUCGGGUUGUCAUGCCAAUGGCACUGCCCGGUAGCUAAAUGCGGAAGAGAUAAGUGCUGAAAGCAUCUAAGCACGAAACUUGCCCCGAGAUGAGUUCUCCCUGAGACUUAGAGUCUCCUGAAGGAACGUUGAAGACGACGACGUUGAUAGGCCGGGUGUGUAAGCGCAGCGAUGCGUUGAGCUAACCGGUACUAAUGAACCGUGAGGCUUAACCUU